rnacentral:lncRNA from 1 species
UGCCUAUGUGAGAGCAUACGUAUUUAAGAGAUAAUGUGGAAGUAAAUCUUUGCAAUAUUUAGUGAUCAAUUAAAUUGGGAGAUCAAGGAUUGUUCCCUAACUUCUAGUGGUAAGACUAUUGUUUUAAAAUUCCUUCAGAACUAUCACAAGUGAUUGAAAAGCUUUUGAAAAACCCAAGACAAGAAUACUUAAAGAGGGAAGCAGUGGCAGUAAUAGGAGUGGACCAGGCAGACACUACAAGAAGCAGACAGAGAUAUUUAUUCUGUGACCACAGUGUGCUGCUUAAUACUCACCAGAGAAAAACAUAACAGGAACAUAAGAGGACUGAAAGCUAAGUUCUGUAUCCUUUGAGAGCUGAUGCCUAAUUAGAGAGAACACACAUACAUAACAGCAGGAACAGUUAAGGAUAUAAAUACUAGCACAUUGGUUUAUUCCUAAUUUGCCUGGAUAACGUUACGGUGUUUCUCACAGUAGGAAUCCAUCACUCUGUUUUCAGGAGUAGUGGCAGGUGAAGAGUGCGCACACGUGGGCAUGUUUUUUGUUGAAUUUGAAGGAGAAGAUUAACUUACAAAGGACCCCAGGAGGAGAUAAAUUAGAAGAAGAGAUAAGAAAUGUGGAGUGGAAAGAGCAAAUUUAGAGGUAAGACAGAGCAAGUGGAGUUCAAACAUAGCAAGAAGAAAGUUUAACAGUAUUCCCCAGCUGGCAAAACACUGCUACUCUCACAAAAGCUUCCCUUGCUGGAGACCCCAAAGCACCAAGAGCAUGGUGGUCUACUGUCCAUAAUCAGGAUUCUUAUUAUUCAGCCAGACUUAUGCUUGCUUGGGAGCUGAUUCCUACAAUACUCGUCUAAUGCUCUCCACCUUGGGUUCACAGUCUUGGGCAUAGCAGAGCAGCUGGUGGGUAUUUUUGUCUGCUAGUAAUGGUAGCACUUACUCGGAUCUGGCUGAAAAGCCCAUGAGAGUAUUUCAGGCAUGGAAAGCCGAGACACUCUGGCAAAAAGAUCUCUGUGAGUGAGAUCCCAGUGGAAAGAACAGGUCUUCAAAGAAGGAGGUACCUUUCUCUGAAGGGAGG